rnacentral:siRNA from 1 species
UGUCGAGAAAGAUGAGCCCAGAAU